GGAAGAUUUGGAGGUCGAGGAUUAGGAUAGUAGGUAGUUAAGUUCUAUAGUGAUGUGUGAGAGAGAGGUGGAUCACCGGAGGAAACAACCACAUUUGCUCUAGAAGUUGAUUGGUAUGACUGCUUCUGCUUGGUGAAAUUGAAAUUAGAGGGGAAUCCAUGCAAUUUGUAACAUUUCUCGAUGGUAUGACCUGCCUUUUUGCAAUAAGUACAAAAUGCAGUAUCCUUUUUGUUAUAAACUGCUCUUCGUGCCUGAUAUGUUGGCCUUUUGUUCAAGCUUUUUCUAGAUCAUUGUCCAUCAGCUAUGAAAGAAGUUGAUUCCACUGGAUAAGGGAUAGAAUGAUGGAUCUCUGUUCGUUUCUCAUUUUAUAUAACUAAGGAGGAAGCAUGUCCAGUAAAAGGGAGAGAGGUAUUCAUCAAGAUGUUCCUCCUUAUUCUAAGGUAAGAAUCAUUAAAUCGCAUAAGAAAUUGUAACGACCUCUCAUCCUCUAGAGCUUUGUUAGUCUUAUCUUUUUUCCAUCAUAUUCACAAGCACAAAGAGAAAAAGUAUUAGAAUCUAACUCAUCCCAAAGACACUUUAGCUUGGUAAAAUAGGUUGUUAUACUUAGAUUACCUUAAACUAAAGUGGAUAAUCCCUUUUGUAGUUAGAAGAGCUUAGCACCGUUGGUCUGUCCAUGCUCGCUUUUAGACCUUCCAAAGUUACCUUACAAUGUGUGAAUAAAGCACACUAGUUGCUAUGUCCCUUAAAAGAGAAUUCAAGAGCCAUGAAAGGACCAUGUCAUUGCACCUGGUCCAGGUUUUGAGCAAGGGAUCUGUAGCUGCAAAUUUGAAAAGGGUACCAUCAAUGAACUCUAUUUUGUUUUUACUUGAUAAAGUUAUCAACAUACCCCUUCUAUAUCCUCCAAAACCUUUAUCAUAAAAAACUAUGCUCACCAAAAUCAUCGCAGAAGCAUAUGAAGGAUUAAGGUAGUAAGCAUUAAAUAAAUCCAUUCCAAAUUCGUUUGGAGACUAGGAACCUCUAGGGGAGUGGUUUCGGUUGGAGUUAAUUCACCCAUGGUGAUUCAAAACAGGAAAAAAAGAAAUAAAAGGAAAGCAGAAGAAAAGAGACUGAAGAACAGUGUAUUAAACCUGCUCUGAUACAUGUUGGUUGAGAGAAGACUUGGGAUAAAUUUUUUGAUUUUCAUUGAUGAGAAUAACGUGUUCUGUAGAUAGAGAUUUAUACGAGAAGCAAAUGUGAAUUCCUAA